GUGAACAAUGGUUACCGUUUAAGAGAUGGUGACUUGAUAGUAAUGAAAGAGGAAGGGACGGCUAACUCUGUGCCAGCAGCCGCGGUAAUACAGAGGUCCCGAGCGUUGUUCGGAUUCACUGGGCGUAAAGGGUGCGUAGGUGGCAUGGUAAGUUUGAUGUGAAAGCUCAGGGCUUAACCCUGAAAUGGCAUUGAAUACUACUGUGCUGGAUGUUUGGAGGGGGGACUGGAAUUCUUGGUGUAGCAGUGAAAUGCGUAGAUAUCAAGAGGAACACCAGUGGCGAAGGCGAGUCCCUGGACAACACCUGACACUGAGGCACGAAAGCUAGGGGAGCAAACAGGAUUAGAUACCCUGGUAGUCCACGUCGUAAACGAUGGAUGCUAGCCGUCGGCAAGCUUGCUUGUCGGUGGCGCAGCUAACGCAUUGAGCAUCCCGCCUGGGGAGUACGGCCGCAAGGUUAAAACUCAAAGGAAUUGACGGGGACCCGCACAAGCGGUGGAGCAUGUGGUUUAAUUCGAUGCAGCGCGAAGAACCUUACCUGGUCUUGACAUCCCAAGAACCCUGCAUACAUGUAGGGGUGCC
rnacentral:rRNA from 1 species